UACAGAGGGGGCAAGCGUUGUUCGGAAUUACUGGGCGUAAAGGGCGCGUAGACGGCCUUCUAAGUCGAACGUGAAAUCCCCGGGCUCAACCCGGGAACUGCGUCCGAUACUGGAAGGCUUGAAUCCGGGAGAGGAAUGUGGAAUUCCAGGUGUAGCGGUGAAAUGCGUAGAUAUCUGGAGGAACACCGGUGGCGAAGGCGACAUCCUGGACCGGUAUUGACGCUGAGGCGCGAAAGCCAGGGGAGCAAACGGG
rnacentral:rRNA from 1 species